rnacentral:rRNA from 1 species
AGGAAAGCAGGGGAUCGCAAGGCCUUGCGCUUUUGGAGCGGCCGAUGUCUGAUUAGCUAGUUGGUGAGGUAAAGGCUUACCAAGGCUUCGAUCAGUAGCUGGUCUGAGAGGACGACCAGCCACACUGGGACUGAGACACGGCCCAGACUCCUACGGGAGGCAGCAGUGGGGAAUUUUGGACAAUGGGGGCAACCCUGAUCCAGCCAUGCCGCGUGAGUGAAGAAGGCCUUCGGGUUGUAAAGCUCUUUCAGCCGGAACGAAAAGGUUACGGUUAAUACCCGUGACUAAUGACGGUACCGGAAGAAGAAGCACCGGCUAACUACGUGCCAGCAGCCGCGGUAAUACGUAGGGUGCGAGCGUUAAUCGGAAUUACUGGGCGUAAAGCGUGCGCAGGCGGUUUUGUAAGUCAGAUGUGAAAUCCCCGGGCUUAACCUGGGAACUGCGUUUGAAACUACAAGACU